AUUUAAUCAUGAUUUUUGUGGAUUUUUUGCACGUGUAGAAAAUUAAUUGGCUUAGGGAUUGCUUGAUGUUGUCACAUUUGCACAUACCAUGCCAUAUCUUUCAUGAAAUGAUGAUACUUUCAAAUAGAUUUUUGUGGAUUUUUUGCACGUGUAGAAAAUUAAUUGGCUUAGGGAUUGCUUGAUGUUGUCACAUUUGCACAUACCAUGCCAUAUCUUUCAUGAAAU
rnacentral:lncRNA from 1 species